rnacentral:rRNA from 1 species
GGGUGCGUAACACGUAGGUAACCUGCCCCGAAAGGGGGGAUAACCACGGGAAACUGGGCUAAUACCGCAUAAUCUCGCUUGGUGAGGAAAGCGAUUUGGGAGGGGCCUGCGGUCGAUUAGCUGGUUGGUGGGGUAAAGGCCUACCAAGGCGAUGAUCGAUAGCUGUUCUGAGAGGAAGACCAGCCACACUGGAACUGAGACACGGUUCCGACUCCUACGGGGGGCAACAGUGACGAAUAUUGCGCAAUGGGGGAAACCCUGACGCAUCAACGCCGCGUGGAUGAUGAAGGUUUUCGGAUUGUACACUCCUUAACUGGGGGAAGAGCGGUACCCCAGGACCAAGACACUGCUAACUACGUGCCAGCACCCGCGGUAAUACCUACGUGUCUAGCGUUAUCCGGAAUUACUGGGCGUAAAGGGUGCUCAUGCUGCGCCCAAGUCUGGCGUGAAAGCUCCCGGCUUAACUGGGAGA